GACGAGCGCUGGCGGCGUGCUUAACACAUGCAAGUCGAACGGAAAGGCCCUGCUUUUGUGGGGUGCUCGAGUGGCGAACGGGUGAGUAACACGUGAGUAACCUGCCCUUGACUUUGGGAUAACUUCAGGAAACUGGGGCUAAUACCGGAUAGGAGCUCCUGCUGCAUGGUGGGGGUUGGAAAGUUUCGGCGGUUGGGGAUGGACUCGCGGCUUAUCAGCUUGUUGGUGGGGUAGUGGCUUACCAAGGCUUUGACGGGUAGCCGGCCUGAGAGGGUGAUCGGCCACAUUGGGACUGAGAUACGGCCCAGACUCCUACGGGAGGCAGCAGUGGGGAAUAUUGCACAAUGGGCGGAAGCCUGAUGCAGCAACGCCGCGUGCGGGAUGACGGCCUUCGGGUUGUAAACCGCUUUCGCCUGUGACGAAGCGUGAGUGACGGUAAUGGGUAAAGAAGCACCGGCUAACUACGUG
rnacentral:rRNA from 1 species